CAAAUACUCCCUCCGUCCAGAAAUACUUGUCAUCAAAAUAAAUAAAAAAGGAUGUAUCUAGAUAUAUUUUAGUUCUACAUACAUCCCUUUUUAUCCGUUUUGAAGACAAGUAUUUUCGAACGGAGGGAGUACGUC
rfam:Triticum aestivum genome assembly, contig: Triticum_aestivum_CS42_TGACv1_scaffold_194898_3AL